rnacentral:rRNA from 1 species
AUUGAGCGCUGGCGGCAGGCCUAACACAUGCAAGUCGAGCGGGGUUUUCGGACCUAGCGGCGGACGGGUGAGUAAUGCGUAGGAAGCUACCCGAUAGAGGGGGAUACCAGUUGGAAACGACUGUUAAUACCGCAUAAUGUCUACGGACCAAAGUGUGGGACCUUCGGGCCACAUGCUAUCGGAUGCGCCUACGUGGGAUUAGCUAGUUGGUGAGGUAAUGGCUCACCAAGGCGACGAUCCCUAGCUGGUUUGAGAGGAUGAUCAGCCACACUGGAACUGAGACACGGUCCAGACUCCUACGGGAGGCAGCAGUGGGGAAUAUUGGACAAUGGGCGCAAGCCUGAUCCAGCCAUGCCGCGUGUGGGAAGAAGGCCUUCGGGUUGUAAAGCACUUUCAGUAGGGAGGAAGCGUUGUGUGUUAAUAGUACACAGCGUUGACGUUACCUACAGAAGAAGCACCGGCUAACUCUGUGCCAGCAGCCGCCGUAACAC